rnacentral:tRNA from 2 species
AAGAUAUUAGUUUAAUGGUAGAACAAGAUACUACGGAUUUCUUAAUAAUAGUUCGAAUCUAUUAUAUCUUUC